UACGAAGGGGGCUAGCGUUGCUCGGAAUCACUGGGCGGAAAGCGCACGUAGGCGGCUUCUUGAGUCAGGGGUGAAAUCCUGGGGCUCAACCCCAGAACUGCCCUUGAUACUGAGGAGCUUGAGUCCGGGAGAGGUGAGUGGAACUCCGAGUGUAGAGGUGAAAUUCGUAGAUAUUCGGAAGAACACCAGUGGCGAAGGCGGCUCAGUGGCCCGGUACUGACGCUGAGGUGCGAAAGCGUGGGGAGCAAACAGG
rnacentral:rRNA from 1 species